rnacentral:misc_RNA from 1 species
AACGCACAUUGCGCCCGCCGGUAUUCCGGCGGGCAUGCCUGUUCGAGCGUCAUUCUCACCACUCUGGAGCCCGUGGCCUUAGCGCCCCGCGGCGACUGGUUUUGGGGCACCCGGCCCGCCCCGGGGCCCCCAAGUUCAUCGGCGGGACCGCCUGGACCCUGAGCGCAGUAAAUCAACUGAGUACCUCGCUCGGCGGGCACCACGGCGGGCCUUCCCGGCCGUUAAACCACCACAACGGACCACCGAUGGUUGACCUCGGAUCAGGUAGGAAUACCCGCUGAACUUAA